GAUGAAGAACGUAGCGAAAUGCGAUAAGUAAUGUGAAUUGCAGAAUUCCGUGAAUCAUCGAAUCUUUGAACGCAUAUUGCGCCCUCUGGUAUUCCGGGGGGCAUGCCUGUCCGAGCGUCAUUGCUGCCCUCAAGCACGGCUUGUGUGUUGGGCCUCCGUCCUCCUCCCGGGGGACGGGCCCGAAAGGCAGCGGCGGCACCGCGUCCGGUCCUCGAGCGUAUGGGGCUUCGUCACCCGCUCUUGUAGGCCCGGCCGGCGCUUGCCGACACAUCAAUCUUUUUUCCAGGUUGACCUCGGAUCAGGUAGGGAUACCCGCUGAACUUAAGCAUAUCAAUAAGCGGAGGA
rnacentral:misc_RNA from 1 species